rnacentral:lncRNA from 1 species
GUGCUAGCUGGAGUGUAAUAAUUGUUUUUCCUCAUGGACUGACUGAAGCCUUGGUCUAUGAGGCAGGAGUUCAGGUUCAAAUUAAAUGGCAUUUGUCCUUAUUUAGGUCCACCUGUUCUGAAUAUUUACAAAGCUGGAAAAAAACCAAGUGAACAAGUGGACAAUCUGUGGUGGUCUUAGACUGAGGGAGAAAUCCUUCUCGAAGAGGGGAUUCUAAGACUCAGCCUGGUUUGAGGACGACUGCUCUAGGAUCAACACUUCCCCACACCCUUGGGUGUUGGACUCUCAUGAUUGCAUCGAAUGAGGAUUGUGCCACCCUGCAGAAUAAUGACGGGCUCCCAUUUGGCUCCAACUGUCACCACGAACCUCCUGGGGACGCUUCUCACGGUCUUUGAAGACGGGCCUUGCAGAAAUGGAAAUUUCUUUUAAGACAGUCUGACUUCCCAAAGAAACUUUACUAAAUAACGAGAACAGAAAGGGAAAAAUUAU